rnacentral:sRNA from 1 species
CUAAUGAUUCACAUAUGUCGACACACACUUCAGGGUGCCUAAUAUUUAACGGGUUGAAUUGUGGGAUAUAUGGAAGCCUAAC